rnacentral:rRNA from 1 species
GAUGAACGCUAGCGGCAGGCUUAACACAUGCAAGUCGAGGGGCAGCGCGAUGUAGCAAUACAUUGGCGGCGACCGGCGCACGGGUGCGUAACACGUAUGGAAUCUGCCCUGUACUGGGGAAUAGCCCGGAGAAAUCCGGAUUAAUGCCCCAUAACAGACGAAGUGGCAUCACUUUGUCUUGAAAGCUCCGGCGGUACAGGAUGACCAUGCGCACGAUUAGCUAGUUGGUGAGGUAACGGCUCACCAAGGCUACGAUCGUUAGGGGGCCUGAGAGGGUUAUCCCCCACACUGGUACUGAGACACGGACCAGACUCCUACGGGAGGCAGCAGUGAGGAAUAUUGCGCAAUGGAGGCAACUCUGACGCAGCCAUGCCGCGUGCAGGAAGAAGGCGCUACGCGUUGUAAACUGCUUUUGGAUGGGAACAAUAACUCCGACUUGUCGGAACUUGAGGGUACCAUCAGAAUAAGCACCGGCUAACUCCGUG